rnacentral:rRNA from 1 species
GACGAACGCUGGCGGCGUGCUUAACACAUGCAAGUCGAACGGAAAGGCCCCUUUGGGGGUACUCUGGUGGCGAACGGGGGCGUAACACGUGAGUAACCUGCCCUUGACUUCGGGAUUACUUCAGGAAACUGGGGCUAAUACCGGAUAGGAAUCAUUGCUGCAUGGGGAGGGUUGAAAAGUUUCGGAGGUUUUGGAUGUAUUCGCGACGUAUCGGCUUGUUGCUGGGGUAGUGGCUUACCGAGGCGUUGACGGGAAGCAGGCCUGGGUGGGCGACCGGCGACACUGGGACCGAGGGGAGGCCGAGACUCCUAAGGGAGGCAGCAGGGGGGAAUAUUGAACAAUGGGCGGAAGCCUGAUGCAGCAACGCCGCGGGCGGGAUGACGGUCUUCGGGUGGUAAACCGCUUUCAGAAGGGGCGAAGCUUGUGGUGACGGUACCUGCAGAAGAAGCACCGGCUAACUACGUG